CCGCAGCAGCCGCCCUACGGGAGGCAAGAGAUUACAGUGGGGAAUUUUGGACAAUGGGCGCAAGCCUGAUCCAGCAAUGCCGCGUGAGUGAAGAAGGCCUUCGGGUUGUAAAGCUCUUUCAGUCGAGAAGAAAAGGCUGCAGUGAAUAACUGUAGUUUAUGACGGUAUCGACAGAAGAAGCACCGGCUAACUACGUGCCAGCAGCCGCGGUAAU
rnacentral:rRNA from 1 species